rnacentral:rRNA from 1 species
UAGAGUUUGAUCCUGGCUCAGAAUCAACGCUGGCGGCGUGCCUAAUACAUGCAAGUCGAACGCGAAAGUGGAGCAAUCCAUGAGUAGAGUGGCAAACGGGUGAGUAACACGUGGGUGACCUGCCUUAGAGUGGGGGAUAACGUCCCGAAAGGGACGCUAAUACCGCAUAACAUCCUGCCUUUUAAGAGGUGGUGAUCAAAGCCGGGGAUCGCAAGACCUGGCGCUUUUAGAGGGGCCCGCGCCUGAUUAGCUAGUUGGUGAGGUAACGGCUCACCAAGGCAACGAUCAGUAUCCGGCCUGAGAGGGCGGACGGACACACUGGGACUGAGACACGGCCCAGACUCCUACGGGAGGCAGCAGUAGGGAAUUGUUCGCAAUGGGCGCAAGCCUGACGACGCAACGCCGCGUGGAGGAUGAAGACCUUCGGGUCGUAAACUCCUUUCGAUCGAGACGAAUGGCUUCCGGCUUAAUACGUCGGGAGAAUGACGGUACCGAGAGAAGAAGCCCCGGCUAACUCCGUGCCAGCAGCCGCGGUAAUACGGGGGGGGCAAGCGUUGUUCGGAAUUACUGGGCGUAAAGGGCUCGUAGGUGGCCAACUAAGUCAGACGUGAAAUCCCUCGGCUUAACCGGGGAACUGCGUCUGAUACUGGAUGGCUUGAGAUUGGGAGAGGGAUGCGGAAUUCCAGGUGUAGCGGUGAAAUGCGUAGAUAUCUGGAGGACACGGGUGGC